UGGGGAAUCUUGCACAAUGGGCGAAAGCCUGAUGCAGCGACGCCGCGUGCGGGAUGAAGGCCUUCGGGUUGUAAACCGCUUUCAGCAGGGACGAGGCCGCAAGGUGACGGUACCUGCAGAAGAAGCCCCGGCUAACUUCGUGCCAGCAGCCGCGGUAAUACGAAGGGGGCUAGCGUUGUUCGGAUUUACUGGGCGUAAAGCGCACGUAGGCGGACUUUUAAGUCAGGGGUGAAAUCCCGGGGCUCAACCCCGGAACUGCCUUUGAUACUGGAAGUCUUGAGUAUGGUAGAGGUGAGUGGAAUUCCGAGUGUAGAGGUGAAAUUCGUAGAUAUUCGGAGGAACACCAGUGGCGAAGGCGGCUCACUGGACCAUUACUGACGCUGAGGUGCGAAAGCGUGGGGAGCAAACAGG
rnacentral:rRNA from 1 species